rnacentral:rRNA from 1 species
UAUGGAGGGUACAAGCGUUAUCCGGAUUCACUAGGUUUAAAGAAUGCAUAGAUGAACUAGUAAGUCCGUGGUGAAAUCUCCAAGCUUAACUUGGAAACUGCCGUAGAUACUAUUAAUCUUAAAUCUCGUGAAGGUAAGCGGAAUAUGUCAUGUAGCGGUGAAAUGCUUAGAUAUGACAUAGAACACCGAUAGCGAAGGCAGCUUGCUACACGAGUAUUGACACUGAGGCACGAAAGCGUGGGGAUCAAACAGG